rnacentral:rRNA from 1 species
GGACGAACGCUGGCGGCGUGCUUAACACAUGCAAGUCGAGCGGUAAGGCCCUUUCGGGGGUACACGAGCGGCGAACGGGUGAGUAACACGUGGGUGACCUGCCCUCAGCUCUGGGAUAAGCCUGGGAAACCCGGGUCUAAUACCGGAUAUGACUCCAUGACGCAUGUUGUGGGGUGGAAAGCCUUGUGCGGCUGAGGAUGGGCCCGCGGCCUAUCAGCUUGUUGGUGGGGUGAUGGCCUACCAAGGCGACGACGGGUAGCCGGCCUGAGAGGGCGACCGGCCACGACUGGGACUGAGACACGGCCCAGACUCCUACGGGAGGCAGCAGUGGGGAAUCUUGCGCAAUGGGCGAAAGCCUGACGCAGCGACGCCGCGUGAGGGAUGACGGCCUGGUGU